AUCUAUCAAACAUCCAAACUGUACAAGUGAGUUUCACCAGUAAUCCAUAAAGGCCAAAGGAGGGGGGAAGAUGGGGGUGGCAUUGCAACAGCAGAGACUAGCUCUCAUGCAGCAUUCCUCCCUGCUGCCAAAAUGCAUCCAGGGAGCUGGAAGAGGAUACUGCUGAUCCAGAUGCAGCCACAGCAUUGCCGUGUGAAGUAGUGACAGGUCUGGCAACAAGUGAUGCUCGUACAAUUUAAUGUCAACAGGAUUGGUGCAGGGAGGGAGGAGGUGGAGGAGGUUAAAUCAAUAUGGGAGUGAAUUUUGUCAAUGUGGUUAGUCCACAUGGGUUAGAGGAUGUGUUAAGGAUACAGCUCCAACUUCUGGCAUAGGAGUACAGUGUUUAAAGGCUGGAGAUGUAAGAAAAGGCUACAGGGACAAUGAGGGGGCAAUGCCACUUCUGCUCCAGGUACAUGAAAGUCUAGCACAUGAUGUCUGGUUAGACUGUCAGCAAUGCAAACAACUGACCAUCCUGGGGAGUCUGGUUAGAGCAUCUAAGUUCAUGAAAGCUUGCGAGUGCUGGCCACCCUCCCACUUCCACCCCCCAAAACGCACUCCUUUCCGUAAUUUCACAGAAAUAACAUUUCCUGGAGGUCCCCAUUGAAAGACGAGACGCUCACACAAAGAAACAGAUCCCAACAUGUUUGAGGUAUCUCACAGUGUCUCCCAAAUAGUGGUGCUUCAGGGUAUCAGAUCUCCCAGUGACAAACACCUCCACUCAAACACCGUCACUCUCUGAAAGCACCUCCACUAAAGGAACCACAAUGUUGUUGAAUACCUACAUAUGAAAUACCAGGUCCCAAAGGGUGCAUUUACAGCAUACCUUCACCUUGCAACAAGCAAAUCCUUUCUCCAGACGAUGUAGCAUGGAAUGGCUCAUGUUUAUACUGCUUAGAAACAGCUCAUGCUGAAUUGAGUUGCAAGAAAAACAUGUUAGUUUGCUCUUUUCUCAUUCCAUUUUUCUUUUCUUUCCCCCCACCAGCCAACACUCUGGGAACACCAGCAUCUGGCGUUCAGACUGCUGCAUUAUUUUGGUUUUUAAGGCUCAGGUUGAAAACAGAACAGUGGUGAAAAACCUGCUGCAUGCACUGGGCUGAGGAUGGAAAGGCUAAUUUAGGUCUCUCAUGUUUCUACAAACUGGAAAAGCUGCCAGGAUUUCACCAUUACAUUAGUCCAACUGUAGGAUAGCUGAGUGUAGGUUAUUUUUCACAAGGAAGGCUUUUAAAAUAUUUUAACAGAGCAAAUAAAGAUUAUAGACUAGAGAUCACUAGAAGUCAGCAAGUUUGGGGUUUUUUCUUCCCAUCACACUCAGUACCACCAGGAUUUGGUGUUGAUGUAUGAAAAUAGAUGAUUUUGCCAGACAGUUACAGCAAAUUGUACAUUCUUCAAGUAUGUAUAUGAGGAAGAUGAAGGUUGCCCAGAGAAGCUGUGGCUGCCCCAUCCCUGGCAGUGUUUAAGGCCACAUUGGACACAGGGGCUUGGAGCAACCUGCUCUAGUGGAAGGUGUCCCUGCCCGUGGCAGAGGGUUGGAACUGGAUGAGCUUUAAGGUCCCUUCCAACACAAACCAGGCUGUGAUUCUAUGAUAACUUUUCCAAGUCAAUGAACAGAUAAUACAUGAUAGAUUUUCCUAGUGGUCCUUGCCAGAACUGCAGAAAGGGGCUUUGCUUGCUAUGCUCUUGGCUUGCCCUUGAUGAAAGAAGAGCUCUAGGUAUUUUGGGGAACAGGGAAAGAAAGAACACUUGCAUUUAAAUUGUGUAUUAUGUAUGUAUGGCUAUAGAAGACUGCAGUUUAAAUAGCUGGGAACACAGGGGGGUUAACAAUCCUUAGUACUCAGUUCUGUCUCCCUGACUUCCAUUAGCUGGCUCCCCCUUUCUACUCGUGUGAACGUCUGUGCAGGGAGGAUGCAGUAGUUUGUUCUACCUUUUGAGAGUGUCCUAGGAGGUAUACUGAGGUUUUGACCCAAAGGCAGUGGUUAUGCUCAAUAACUUCUGCCACAUGGGCCUCUAUUUGUCUAACAAACCAGGGUUGACUGAACUGUGUACACUGAAGAGAAAUGAAAGAAUCCCAAAUGAAAAUACGGCGGCUUACACCUUGCACUAGCUGGAAAUAACAUUAAAGUUAAUUGUGCUACCCACGUAACAGAGUUGAUUGUUUAAAUUGAUUACAGGACAAUGAAGUUUUCCAAGUGAAACAUUUCCGCUGGCACAUCCAGGACUGCUCCAGGGCUGUGUGUGCUCGGAUGACUUGAUAAGAAUUCUGCAAGUGUGGCAGAGACACCUCGUAUUUGCAGAUUCCUCUCUCGAGCAAACCUCAUUUUAUCUUUGUCUCUCAGGAUUUAUUCCCUCUGUAACACUCUGCUCCAUCUCCACAGAGCUCCACAGCAUGGAAGGUAGCAUUACCUGGUGUUUAUGAUCCUGGCAUGAACUCGGAAUAGUAAGAAAGACACAAGAGCAGCCGUGCAAGCGUGAGAGACAGAACAAGGUGCAAGUUUCCUACCUGUUUCAGGACUCCAGUUAAUCUGCCUUCUCCAAUGUUUGUUUCUCCCAAAGGAGGUUUCUUCUCUUCCUGAUGGCAAUUGUUUUAACUGCCUUCUGAAUCACCUUCUCCUUUCUCUGACUCUACAGCACAUCAAGAGCAGUGACCAGCAAUCCCUGGCUUGAGAUUCCCAAGGGAAAUCCCACAAACUACUUCUGAAGGGCCUGUGAAAAGUAAAUGGAAUAACAGGUCUACCAUCUGCGUGCUUACACCUACUACUGUGUGGUCUACAUUGCCACUGGACUUUCUUUUUAAAGGGAGUUUUUUCAGAUCCAGAAUAAAAGGUUGGAAACUACUGACCAAAAUGGACAACUCGAGCUCACAUCAAUGGCUAAAAUGUGAAUAAAUUAGAGUAACCACCAGAGACUGGCAAAGGCAGACCUCAUUUCAUGAUUUCUAUGAUAAUUCUGUGCAACCUUGCUGAAGAAUUUAAAUCACAAACUGAAAGGCCUCCUACUGACUGCCCUGAUCAGAGAAUACCAAUUAUUUCAAACUGCAGCCAUAAAUAAACCCACCAGACUCCCAUUUGCUUGCUUGCUACCAGAGGUCCCGAUUCUGUUACCUUCGUAUGUACACUGUGCUCCCUUGCAUCUUCUCUUUUCUUUCAGUUAAUAAGCAAGUCCCUCAAGUUUAUUUACAGGAGGUUGAAAGCCUUUUCUCCUUACAGGUAAUUUGAAGAAGGCAAAACAAAAAGAAGAGCAAGGACACAGCUCCUGCAGAGAUCAUGACUAAAAACCCAACCUACAAACCACCACCAAACACACACAGAGAACUACAAAAAGAUUGUUAAGACUUACUGUACCUUUUAGGGGUUUUGCUCUAUCUUUUCCCUGCAGCCAACUCAGUCUUCCUUCUCCAGCAGCCAGCCUAGAUACCUCUGGAAUUCACUGCUUCAGUUCUAUCCCUUAACAAUCUGAGAUGUUAGUUACACCCUAAGUCAGUCACCCCUGAACUACCCUUCUUUACCUAUUUCUAGUUCCUUGUAGUUCAGACUAAACAUUAGACCAACACUAUGCUAUCAAUAAACAGUGCUCCCUCAUUCCUGCAGGAUGUCUGAAUGGGACUAAGUUUCUCUUCAUUAUGUCCAUUCAAACAUUGUCAAUGUUAUACCUUACUGGCCUAAAAAUCAGACAUUGAGGAAUUCACCUUUUCUACUGUACAUUAUUGCUUUCCAUCCACAGCAGAGGAUGCUCAGGUUGGAAAGCUCAACCUGACUAUUAAGCCUUUCAGAAGUGAGAAAGCUCCUUUAGCUCAUCUCAUAUUUUCUCCCUUUCCCAGCAAAACCAAACCC
rnacentral:lncRNA from 1 species